UACGUAGGGUGCAAGCGUUAAUCGGAAUUACUGGGCGUAAAGCGUGCGCAGGCGGUUUUGUAAGUCUGUCGUGAAAGCCCCGAGCUCAACCUGGGAAUUGCGUUGGAGACUGCAAGGCUAGAAUCUGGCAGAGGGGGGUAGAAUUCCACGUGUAGCAGUGAAAUGCGUAGAGAUGUGGAGGAACACCGAUGGCGAAGGCAGCCCCCUGGGUCAAGAUUGACGCUCAUGCACGAAAGCGUGGGGAGCAAACAGG
rnacentral:rRNA from 1 species